rnacentral:lncRNA from 1 species
UUUUUACUCUGAGGUGACCCUGUAGACCUUAAGGUCAAGCAGCAACUAUAUUAGGUGAGAAGCAUUCAGUCCUUGUGCUUGUGUUGUUCCUGUUGACUUCUAAAGGGAUUCAGGCCACCUGUUUGGUGUGACCAUGAUCUCUCUUUGAUGAAUGUUGAAAGUCACUCCACUGAGAACAGAAUUGCAUCUCUACCAAGAAAAAUCUCCUUACAUGGUUCCCCAGGGUUUUGUAUCCAGUGUUGAUCUUGAUGAGUUACUUCACAAAUUCCUGUUUUUAAACAAGUUGGGUCAUGCUGCUGAGAGCUGUUUUCCAGAGCUCCUGGGCGUGUAGUUUUAUUCUAGGCUUUGGAGCUGAAAGAAGAUAAUAAAAAUGCGUUCAUAGUUGACAUUAGUUGAGGUGACCUAGACAACUAGAUAAACAAGAGUAGUCAAGAAACUAUCCCACUAUGCUGAAGACCACAGAAUGUCCUUUUAAUCAAAUGAUAGGUAACACAAUGUAAUCAAACAUGCAGUGUUGCUAUUAAAUUUAAAGCUCAUGUAUGUACUGGAAAUAAAUGACAAUUUUUUGUUAAAAAAAUGAAGCAAAUACUCAACUCUUUUUUUUUUCCUCUUCUGGUUUCUUGUUGGUUCCAAUUCCCUUUCAAUGCUUAAUAUAGUCUUAAUAUAGAUUUCCAAACCAUGUCAUUGGAUAUUUAAGAGUCAUCUAUUGUGUCUUGUUACAUUUGCUUCAGAGGCCACAUGGAAAGCCACAAAGCUAGUUUCACCAGAAUGAACAUCUGGCCAUGGGGAAGCCACACAGCACAAUCGGGGGUUCACUGGAGUGCUGUAUGUGUGGAUAUGAAGAAGGGGAGGACAGAGAGAUCUCUUUGCUUGUGAGGAAAAUGAUUGAAAUCAUCCAAGUGGUUCAUUGACUGUGACCAUCCCAGCUGACAGUUACUUGUUCAUUGGUACAGAGAGAUGAUGUGUACAGGGGGCUUAUUUAAGCUCUGCAGUGUAGACAUGUCAAAUGAAGAGAUAGUAAUGGGUACAGGGAGAGAAAGCAGGCAUUUGGGAAGAUGAUAAGAUAGGGGAAAACAUAACAAAAUAAAACCAUAAAACUAUAGCCAUGCAGUAUUCACAGGAGGGCACGACUCAUAUAAGGACAAGGCCGUGGUGAAGUAUUACACAGAAGAAAGAUAACAUUGUGCCUGUAAACACGUAAAAAGAGGCAGUGAAGUGGUAAGCCAGGAUAACUGAGGUGUGGCCAGAGACCAGUAGAAAAGUUAGACUUCUAGGAGCCUGUAGCAUCUUCAACCAGUCUCCCAGGGAACACACUCAAUGUCCUGGACAAAGGAGAUGAAAACAGCAGAGUCAGGAGGCUGUGAAUAAACAUGGAAAUCAGCAUUUCCAAAGACACCCGGUAUUCCAAAGAUACCCGGGAGAGUGCUGUCUCCUGAAGUAUGAAGCAUAACUAGAAUGCAGACCUCAGGGACAAGAGCAAUGCAGAACUGCAUCAGAAGGAAAAUCUGGUGGAAAGAGAAAUUCCCAGUCAGAGAGAAGAAGCUGAUAAGUGCCUAGCAGUGCUAAGGAGCUUGAGAUAGGCCACCAGACAUUGCUGUAGGAAUGAGAAUAAGGAGACAGAUCAGGCUGUGAAACCAACAACUCAAUGAAAUGGGUGAAGAGAGAAGGAGAAUGGCAUAUUAGGAAACAGCUGUGUAAAGCUAAAUCUUGAAUUUCUCUAAGCAGUGCUAAGUCUGUCCAAAUGCAUAAAGUGUAUGGAAAGUCCACCCUAAAAAGGGAAAUUAGAAUAAUUGAAAUGAACAAGAUGGCAGAAAAAGAGAGAAUUGAAAUUAGGAUUAAUACAUGUUUAGUAUAAGUAAAAAAUUAAAACAAAUUUAAAAGAAAAAGGAAAAACGGGAUAGUAGUGUUGUAAGAUAUGACAAGAAAUCCCUGGGUAAGGAAUAACUGUGUCUCUCCCUCUCUUUAUCUCUCUCUGUCUGUCUCUCUCUGUCUGUCUGUCUCUCUCAGUCUCUCUCUCUCUCUCUCUACACACACACACACACACACACACACACAAGUCUUUUGAGUUUAGGAACACUUGGUCAUCUUUUAGCCUUGUUCAUCAUGAACUGGAAACACAUGCAACAAGAGAUCUAAAUUGUGAACUGUUGUUUCUCCCACACCUACACAUAGAUGACUUCUAAAAAGUACCUUAUUGAUUUUGUGGUGUAUACAUGAAUAUGAAAUCUAUGAAUCGUGAGGAUUAGCAAUGCAUGCAUAUACUGUGUGUGUGUGUGUGUGUGUGUGUGCUGAAGCAUAUUAGUCACCUGAGGAAAAAUGAGGUGUUUUUUUUAAUAGAUUCAAGACAGGAAUUUCUUUGAGCAAAAUAAGUUUUUGGUAUAAUCGAAUCAUGGUUUCCUUUGGCCAGACAAAUGAGUGAUGUUUGGAGACGUCUGUGGCUGAGCACUGACCUUGCUUUGCUUACAGAUGGGCAGCGGCUGGGCAAUGCUGCAAGUGAGUGGCACGUUGGUCAUGAAUACUUAAGAGUGGAUGAGGGGCUAGAUCUGCAAACAGUUUUGCUUAUAGCCUUUUAUAGAAUAUACACGAAGUAAAACAAAACUACGAGCCUUGCCCUUAAGCACCCAUGCUCAUUUGUGCACAUACACAUGGUGGUAUACCUUUCUAAGGGUAUAUAUAGCAUGAGGUCAAUCACUAGUUGAGGACCUCAGGAAUAAACAUAUUGCCUUACAGGAAGUUGGUUAAAUCCCCCAGUGCAGACAGUUACUUGAGUAAUGCCUGUGAAUAUACCCAGCCAUGAGUGCUGCAGACCCAGUGAAGUGCUUGUGUGACUCACGGGGUCUUUAUACAUUUAUUGAUUUACAUACUGUUAACAAACAAACAUUCAUCUUGGAGCAAACUAUACAGUCAGCACUUGCUUGGUUUGUAUUUUUCCACCCAAUGCUUCCUUCAUAUUUAAGGAAGAAAACUUUGGGUAUAGAAACAAAUCCAUCAACCAGUUCUGCUACCUGUGUGCAGCUAUUUAGGUUGAUGUGACUUUCCUGAUGCAGUUUGUGUGAGAAAAAGAAACUCAGUCAGAUGACAAGUAAGUUCUUGGUGUUGAGCACUGACUGCCAGUGUAGACUGUAAGUAAGGAGUGAAAGUUUAGUGUAAGGUCACAUACGCUGUGAACUCCAUACUUGUCACUUAAAAAAGGGCAAGUGGGCAUGAGAUCCCAGGAGGUUGUUCACUGAAUGAGUCAAUACUGCAUUGGCUGGCAACCAGCUACAAUUAAUACAGCCUCACUGCAAAUGCUGUGCCUUUCUCUCUCGUGUGUGUGUGUGUGUGUCUGUGUGUGUGUGUGUGUCUGUGUGUGUGUGUGUCUGUGUGUGUGUGUGUGUCUGUGUGUGUGUGUCUGUGUGUGUGUGUGUGUGUAAGUGAUCAAAAUAUUAAAUUUCAUUCACUUUCAAUAAUCUGUCAUACAUAUAUGUACAUAUACAGCUUUUUGGUCUAAACGGGCAAUGAAAAUAUACAACAUAAAAUAAAAACUAAUUUUUUUCUUGACUUCUUUUUUAUUAUGUAUUCUGCAUUAUAUCAUUCAACAUAUAAUUGACAAUCUAAUAACUUUUAUCGGAUCUUUUCUUCUCUGGUUGACUAGAUUACAUAUAUAAAAAUGGCAACUCAUGGAUAUUCAUUUUGAAAGGAUCAAUAUAAAUAGGUGUAAUGUUAACACAAUAUUACAACACUUGCCUAGGCAAGCGAAAUGCAAAACAAAACAAAU